UAGGUGGUGGUGUUCUGUUUUGUACAUUUUCUCUUUGCUGCUACGCAAAGACAACAUUAACUAUGAUAAAGAUGGAAGAUGCUAAGCCUGAAGUUUCAGCUUCCAACAAUUCAAAUUCCAAGAGCAGUGAUUCUGGUCUUCUCCAAGAUUGAUUUACUGAUUUGUGCAAGGCAAGCGAACACCGAUGUACAGAGGUGAUUGCUCAAGUGCCAGAAUAUACCAGGCAGUUUCUUAGGCAACUUGAAACUGUGCAGGUAAAUGCAGAGUUCAAUGCCUUUAUAAAGCAUAUUCUUAGCUUUUAAUACAUUUUCAAUCUGGUCUUUAAUUUGUUUCAGUUAGGCUCAUGAAGUUUGAUUACUCUUCAUUUUCAAUUGUACCAUUUAGGCUCAUAAAGUGGUUCAAAUACCUCCAAGAGCCUGAUUCACCCAUUUUAUACUUUUCAUGUAACACUUCUUUAAAAAAGCUAAAACAUCUUUCAUUGUAAAUAAAUUUAACGGUUAUGGUUAGCUUCCAUACAGUAUGUUGUAUGUUUCGGGAUAUCUCUGCAUCUUAAUUUAUGCUCUCAGGUUGCUGAAAGUUUGUAAUUUUACUUGCUACUUGAUUAUAAAAAUGUAAAACAAAAUCUGUAUGUGAUUUACAAAUUUGUAUUUGAUUUUAGACGUUUUUCCAGUGUAAGGCAUAUGUUGCACAUGCAUGUAAAUGGUACAAAUUGUUUUCGUUUUGGACAAUAAGCUUUUGAGUUUUACAACCCUUGCAAGGGGAUUGUGACUCCAACAAAUUUAGUGUUGGGGGAUACAGUUUGAUUCUCCUUAAUA